rnacentral:rRNA from 1 species
GACGAACGCUGGCGGCGUGCCUAAUACAUGCAAGUCGAACGCAGUGGGGACGGGUGAGUAACACGUGGGUAACCUCCCAUCAGAGGGGAUAACACUUGGAAACAGGUGCUAAACCGAUACUGAUGGCUGGACCCGCGGUGCAUUAGCUAGUGGGUGAGGAAACGGCUCACAAAGGCCACGAUGCAUAGCGCACCGGAGAGGUUAACCGCCCAAACUGGGAGGAAAAAACGGCCCAAACCCCUACGGAAGGCAGAAGUAGGAAAUUUCGGGCAAUGGACGAAAGUCUGCCCGAGAACGGCCGGUUGAGUGAAGAAGUUUUUGGAACCGUAAGACUUGGUGGUUAGGAAAGCGGUAUCUAACCAGAAAGCCACGGCUAACUACGUGCCAGCAGCCGCGGUAAUAC